GGAACCGUGGUGUAGUGGCCUAACAUACGUCCCUGUCAAGGACGUGAUCGCGGGUUCGAAUCCCGUCGGUUCCG
rnacentral:tRNA from 1 species